rnacentral:rRNA from 1 species
GACGAACGCUGGCGGCGUGCUUAACACAUGCAAGUCGAACGGAAAGGCCCCUUCGGGGGUACUCGAGUGGCGAACAGGUGAGUAACACGUGAGUAACCUGCCCUUGACUUCGGGAUAACUUCAGGAAACUGGGGCUAAUACCGGAUAGGAAUCCUUGCUGCAUGGUGGGGGUUGGAAAGCUUCGGCGGUUUUGGAUGGACUCGCGGCUUAUCAGCUUGUUGGUGGGGUAGUGGCUUACCAAGGCUUUGACGGGUAGCCGGCCUGAGAGGGCGACCGGCCACAUUGGGACUGAGAGACGGCCCAGACGCCGACGGGAGGCAGCAGUGGGGAAGAUUGCACAAUGGGCGGAAGCCGGAUGCAGCAACGCCGCGUGCGGGAUGACGGCCUUCGGGUUGUAAACCGCUUUCAGCAGGGGCGAAGCUUGUGGUGACGGUACCUGCAGAAGAAGCACCGGCUAACUACGUG